rnacentral:piRNA from 1 species
GGUGAGUACGGAACAAGCCCUGU